UUGUUGCGCUCGUGCCUUUUCCUCAUGCUGCUCUUUCCCAUUAUUUUACAAGCAACAAGAAGCCAGACCCAUCACCCUUUUGCCACUCCCUGCAAGUGUGGAAGUGGAGGUAGUCACAGUCCUGCUGAGCUCAGGUGGUUCCUGAACACCUGUCCUUGGUGCAUAACACAGAGGGAAGAAGUGCUGGAAAUGAGGGAAAACACAUGAAGCGAGGUGUCAACGGUGUACCUAACAUGUAAGGAAGGCAAUGACUGAAGGAUUGAUAAGCAAUGUAAGUGUUCUUGGCAGUGAGGGGAAGAAGAGAGAGGAGUGUUCUCUAUGCCAGACUUUAGCAGAGAAUUUAGUCCCCACCUUAGUGAAAAGAAGAACACAGUUAUUUCCUACGUAUUUAAAAUGCAAAAGAAAAUGAGGGGGUUUUACCUGGAGAAUAAAAAAGUUAUAAGGCUGUCUGUCUGAAACAGAUGCCACCGCAGAUUUCCAAGGGGAGAGUGUGAAUGAGAGGAGGAGCAUCUGCAGGUGGUUUUGCCUGAAUUACUCAUCUGGAAAAGACAGCUUAAGCAGCAUGCACAAUAAACAUAGCGAAAUGAGAAAUACUGAAAUGAUGGGCAGAGAUAUAUUAUUUGUCUCAUGAGUUAAUAAGGCCAGGCAUCAUAAUUCAUCCUAAAUACCACUGGCUGGGAGGGACUUGUUUUGCAAUUACUCAGGAAGACAUUGAGGUUUCUCAAGAGGUGCAAGUGUCAGGAGGUGAGGGAUGACCCACUAUUAAAUUGCUUUUGUGUCUGGGAUUCUGAACCCUUUGAAGACUGCUGUGGGCAGGACUGGCUCUGAGAAAGGGAAGCACAUAGCUGCCUAUUGGAGCAGAGUCCUGCGAGCAACAAACUGCUGCUGCCACUGACACAGGGAUCAGCUGCUGCUAGAAAAGACAGUGAACUUCCCAGACCCUUCACCUCAGCUCUGCUCACUGCCUCUGCCUGAUCUGAACAAGGGCUGGUGUUUCCCACCAUGCUGACACACCAUGUACCUGAUGGCUUAUGGCUUACUCAUUUUAGUCUUACACCAAACCCCGUACUACUUCCCAAGGAAUAUUUGCAGCCACUCACUGAAUGUUCCAACACCUCUGGGUGCUCCAUGAAUGCCCUCCAGCUUGAAGGAUACUUUCUGCAAAGAAGGAAAAAAAAAAGUCUUUAUUGGCCCCUGCAUCCAACACAGAGAAAAUCUACUGAAUGCAAGACAGUGUGUAGCCAUAUAUUGGGAAGACUAAUGAGAAAUCUUAAACACUCUUUUUUUUUUUUUUUUUUCCCUUGGAGGGAAGAAACUUAUGAGACAUCAACUUAUGAGAACAUGGGAGUGUGGAAUAAUCUCCAUAAAUAAGAGCUAGGUCAUACCUGUAGUGGCUGGAGGACAUAAGGACUACUUUGUUUCUUUUACAAUGACUGUACACUGUAGAGGAAUAAUAUGGGAGACAGGAACCGUGAAGAUAUAUUAAACUCACUCCUUGAAAGAGGUGGUAUAGCCAUCAAACAGAUUAUAGAGCCAGUGUGCCAUGAAAACUGAGCUGCAGGUUUUGUCUGCUUUCAGCAGAAUGCAUUAUGCCAACUAAAAGAUAUCUGUUUGAAUGUUAUCUUCCAGAGCACAAGGAAUAUGACUCUUCUGGGGAAACCUUGUACAAGAUGUGAACUCAUUACAUGUGUGGUACAAUGCUGUCAUUUUAUCUAGCUUGACAAAUUUAAGAUAAAAAUGAGAGGUUUUGGUCCAAAGAAAAUAGGCCCAAAACUUGAUCGCAGCCUUUCAGAGCGUAAAGGACUUCAGUACUCUGACUGUCAGGCACGGUGUUCUCAGGAAUAUUUAGACACACCAUUCCCAUUAAAAUGAAGGGCUCGGGUUGCUUGUAACCUGAGUAAAUACUGCUGAAAUGUUAGCCCUAGGAAAUAGGAACUCUUUAAAUGUGAGGCUUAGCCAUGUAUGUAUGCACACGCAUGUGGAUACACACAAAUUAUUGAAAAUGGAAAUCCUGUAAUGCCAACAUGGAAGUCAUAGAAUCAAAGUAUGCUUUUCUUGUAUUUCCCCUCCACGAAAAACAGAAUACUAGACUUUUUCAUCUUUAUAUAUGUAAUGUUAGUAUGCAUGUUUAUCAAGACAAAUAUACAUAUAUAUGUACAUACAAGUGUGUCUGUGCAUGCCACUGGUAGGCCUACAUACAUAUGUAUAUACUAAAAUUGUUAAAUGAGUAAAAGGCUUUCAUUCCUUGUUCACUUUAACAUCUGUGGAGCUGGUAUUGUUCUUUAAAAACGACCGUAUCAUACAGAGGCACACAAACAUUAUGUGUUCAGCAAAAAUACUAGGCAAAAGUACAU